AUUUCAAUGAAGAGAAUGCAUUUAUAUGAUGAAAUCUGAUUAUUAUCUGUUGUAAGGAUUAAGAAAUCCUGGGAAAU